UACGGGGGGAGCAAGCGUUGUUCGGAUUUACUGGGCGUACAGGGCGCGUAGGCGGUCAGCACAAGUCAGUUGUGAAAUCUCCGAGCUUAACUCGGAAAGGUCAACUGAUACUGUGCGACUAGAGUGCAGAAGGGGCAACUGGAAUUCUCGGUGUAGCGGUGAAAUGCGUAGAUAUCGAGAGGAACACCUGCGGCGAAGGCGGGUUGCUGGGCUGACACUGACGCUGAGGCGCGAAAGCUAGGGGAGCGAACGGG
rnacentral:rRNA from 1 species